GACACAAACUAUGAGUGAGAAAAGGACAAAUGAUUCGCUCUUUGCUUCAUUUUUUCCGAGGUUGUCACAACAUGAAAUGUCAUUUGGACCUAUUGGACUCAUUUUAAUUCGGCCAAAUACAUAGUAACAUACAUAAGAAGAUUUUACUUAUAUUUACCGAACUAUUUGACACGGUCGCGUGAACUUUGUUUACGAGUGUCUUGUGUUCAGAUUGUUUUAAGUGAUAAUUUAACAAUAUUUUUCCAAAUAAAUGGAAAGAAACUUUUAUUUAUAUCAAAUAAUUGAGUGUCUCGACUCUGUGACAUUAUGUCUUGUGUGGUAUGGGGCUGCAGCUCACAUUCAGGAAGAAAAGAAAAUAGCCAACAACUUCUGUCGUUUCAUCGAUAUUAAAUCCAAAAGUGUCGACUGGAUUUACAUGAAAAGUCAGUUCAAGAAGACGAGAUGAAAAAUUUAAAAGAAAAGCUGAACAAGUCACGCCUCAAGAUCAAACGACUUAAUGAAAAAAAAAUCAAUGUGACAGGGUGUCACAAAGACAGUUUCUAAACAAAUUGACACUGUUUAGAAAUUAAUAAAUUUGGAUUUAUUGUAAAUAUAAUGUACAUAAUUAAUAACGUGUAAAAUAAAUACUUGCUAAUGAACAGAUUUACGAUCUAA